rnacentral:rRNA from 1 species
UACAGAGGGGGCAAGCGUUAUUCGGAAUUAUUGGGCGUAAAGGGCGCGUAGGCGGCUUUUCAAGUGACGGGUGAAAUCCCUCGGCUUAACCGAGGAACUGCCUGUCAGACUGGAAGGCUUGAGACCGGGAGAGGUGAGUGGAAUUCCCAGUGUAGCGGUAAAAUGCGUAGAUAUUGGGAGGAACACCAGUGGCGAAGGCGGCUCACUGGACCGGAACUGACGCUGAGGCGCGAAAGCGUGGGGAGCAAACAGG